CAUAUACUUAACCUCUUGCCUCUAGUUUCAUAAUCUCAUAUCGGCAAAAUUGAUGACCUGAAGUAUCUAAUUGAGGGAGUAGCAUUUUUACCAGAUCUCUGAGUGUAGAAGAUGGUCAGAUAUUCGAUUGUAAUAAAAUAAAAUGGGAAAAAUAGGGUAUGUUUGGUUUGCCCAUUUCCUUUUUUUUUUUUUACUGAAAAUAAGAAAUAAAAUUGAAAAUGUGUAAGGUAAUGUAUUAAUGAAAACAUUUUCAUGAAAUAAUUCUUAAAAGGAGUGAAAAAUAAGAAAUGUCCAAAUGACAGUUUUAUUGUUUGCACUCAAAAUGUUGGAAACACGGAAAACUAGCUUUGGAAAUUGGAACUAA